CUACACUGGGCAUGAAUUAGCCUUCUAGAGAGCACACAUUCUGCAUGGAUGUGGGCAUAUCCGGAUUGUUAUUUACCUUCACUAGAGGGCAGGUAACCCAAUGCGACCACAGACCCUCCAGACUUCAGCAGGCAGAGCUGAAGAAUGUAGAUUUGGAUCUUAUAUUUGUAUAGCAUCGUUCAGACGAGACUUUCGGAGCCAAUCGUCAAAACUACCAUGAAGCUGUGAAACACUAGCUGUCCAUCAAGUGUACUCCUUCUACUCAUAAAAAAAAAGAGGUUAAAUGUGAAACAUCCUCAUUAAGGUCCUUCAGAAGGUGUUCCAGAGGAAGGCAUUGCUAUAUCAUAGGAGAAGACAACUUCAUGGCAUGUUACGGCCCCUGAAGGCCUUCCAGUGGGACAAUAUGUGGAGAUGGAAGCCAGUGUGAUAUUGAUGAUGCUGACUCUGUGUAGUCUUAGGCUAACAGCUUACGCAUAUUUAAGGGAUAUGAAUUAGCUCUAGAGUUUUCUCUAUGCAACGGAACAUUUAUGGAUAGAAUUGUGUAAUUCGUGAUGGUGACGACAAUAAGGGGAAAAGAGGAAAACGAAGAUAAAUAAUGUGGAGGAGGAAGAACAGGAAGACAAAGAGGAAAAGAAGGAGGAGAAGGAAGUAAUCAGUGCAUUUUGGCUUUUGCUACUAUCACUUAAGAUUCCCACUCUUAUGUGAACUCCCCCAACAAUGAUAAGAUAUCAUCAAAGAGAAUUGACUGUCAAAUUACUUCCCAAAUUAAACUGCAGCAGAACAUAUCUCUCUGGGAACUGAAGAAAUGAGAGACCUAAUUUUUUAUGACAUUAGAGAUCAUUUCAUCCAACUUUCUCAUUUUACACAUAAUGAAUCUAGGGCUGAGAGAGU